AAUGAUAUAGCGCCAUCUACGACAUCAAUUACUUUCGCCAUCUUGAAACCCCAAUUCUGUGCUUUCGUUGGGAAGAGGACGUUGAAUAUAUCGAAAUUUUCAUAUAAAGGAAUUAAACGAAUUCAGUAUGUCAAGAUAUGGAGAAUACAGUCGUAUGUUUCCAGCCAGUAUAUCUAAUCAUCUGAGGCCGUAUGUGCGCACAUUAGGUCCAUUUUUAGCACCAGGAAUUAUCAUCAUCGGCUAUGUAAUGAUUAAAGGCACAUUUGCUGGAAUUGCUCAAAGGAGGUCUGCAAGUGCAUUAGCUAGUGGAGGACACCAUUAAACAAGGAGAUGACCUCAUAGAAUGAUAACCAAUGGACUGUUGUGAUUUAAGAAAAUGGAAUAAUCUUACAAAUUCACCAAUCAGAGUCGAACCUGUUUAACCAAUUGAAAUGCAAUAUUUCUAACUUCGGGAAGCUUCCACCAAUCCAGUUCCCUGUCCUUUAGGCGUUUGCUGUUUUAAUUAUUCAUGCAUAAAAACCAGAUUUGUUUGAAUAAAGCUGUGUUGUGCAGGGAAUUUAGGCAGAUUUAUAUAUAGAGAUGGUUAGUAUCUGGCAGAAAUAAAGUGUUAAAGAUGAAAA
rnacentral:lncRNA from 1 species